UACAGAGGGUGCGAGCGUUGUCCGGAAUCACUGGGCGUAAAGGGCGCGUAGGCGGUCUCUUAAGCGUGUGGUGAAAGCCCGGGGCUCAACUCCGGGUCGGCCGUGCGAACUGGGGGACUGGAGCUUGUCAGAGGCAGGCGGAAUUCCGGGUGUGAGCGGUGGAAUGCGUAGAGAUCCGGAAGAACACCGGUGGCGAAGGCGGCCUGCUGGGACAAUGCUGACGCUGAGGCGCGACAGCGUGGGGGAGCAAACAGG
rnacentral:rRNA from 1 species